rnacentral:tmRNA from 1 species
GCCCUUGGAAGGGUCGAUCAAAGCGCCUAUAUUGGUUUUGUCCGGGUUCGCCCGGACUAUGGCGAUAAACGCGCUUGUAAUAAGCGGACCGGACCCGGGUGCGAUUCCCGGCGGCUCCACCAUUUCUUCCCCGCGUUAUCGGCGGAGCGAGCAUGGGGCCGACUAGCAUCGACGGACGUGUAAAGAAGACUGCUUUCGCCCGUCCUGGCCCACCGUAUCGGGCCAUUUUCUAACUGCGAACGAUAACUUCGCUGGAGAAGUCGCUCUCGCCGC